CUCCCACCGAAAACCUAUCCUCCUCACACCUACGCAUCCCCGAUUCAGAUCUCCCACCUACGCAUCCUGUCCGCCGCCGGCCCCUUCUCCCAUUGCCCCGGCGCCCCUUCCACAGUAGAUGUGCGCGCCGCCCGCCUCGGCCUCGUCGGCGACAGACGCGCCGCCGCUAUCGACGACGGCGUCACGCCCGGCGAGCCAUAGCCAUGGCCUCUCCCUCACCCCUGUCUAACCCUAGCUUCCCGUCGCCGGAGGUGGCGCCCUCCUUCCCGAGCCGCGCCUUCAUCCUCUGCUCUCCCACAACCCCAAACCCGUCCCCGCCGCCGAUCUCCUCUCCCCCAACCCCAGCCCCGCCGACGACCUCCUCCCCCACGCCUUGACUGCCCGGCGACAUCGUCUCGUUCAUAGCCGUCCUCGACCUCCGCCUUCUACUCCACCCUCUCCUUCUCUCCACGCUGAAACCGUAGAUCGACGCCAUGGCCACCUCACAGGUGAGGCACGCAGGAGGAGCCCGUCCAUGGCGACACCGGUGAGAUCUGGUAUGGAUCCCCCCUUUCUUCUUCUUCUAGAUUUCUUCAUUUUGCUCGAAUCUCAUUGCGUUUGUCCGAGUUUUUUUGUGGAUCAUAUGGUCAAGGAGGACACCAUGGACAAGCCCGAUGCCAUGGCGACCUCGCACGUAGCACAGGAGGAAGCUAGACAUGGCGACAACCGAUCUGGUAAGAGAUGGCUCUCACCAGAAUUGGUCUUGUUGGCCUCGCCGUCAUGGGGCAGAACCUUGCCCUCAACAUUGCAGAGAAUGGCUUCCCCAUCUCUGUGUACAAGCUACAUCGCGCCAAGUUAGAAAGGCUUCCGCAUCUGUCUACCACAUCUGUGAAAGUGUGAAUCGUGCUGCUGAUUUCCUGAUGUGUCUUGGAUACAGAGGGGAUCAAAUCCAGUGAUAAAUGCGGAUACCCUAUAUUUUCUGCUUACUAUUUGGAGGUGUAUGCUGAUUAUUUGAGGAUGCUUUAUAUAUGUCCCAAGAUGUCUUUAUGCAAUACCUGAUAUGAUAACAUGACCUGAAUUAGGACUAUUAGCUCCUUUACUUGCUCUGUUUGGUUAAGACUAAUGAUGCCAUGGAUAAGCACAUUACUAUUAAGUUUAAAAGUUCUGUUAAAACAAGGUGGAAGCAUGUUCUUUCUAGCAAAUUUUUUAUGCACUGCCACACUUAUAUUUUAAUUUUCUAUUAUUUUUAUUGCUGCUAUGUUGGUACUCCCAUUGGGUAACUUGGCUAGCUGCCCAUAUCAGUUGAUGAACUAUAUUAUCCACUGCUUUUAAUCAGCUGAUGAUGCAUAUUCAGUUUGGCUGAUUUUGCUACAUACAUAUAUACCUGGCUUUGUUUUAGUCUGGCAACUCAACUGUGAUGCCAUUGCUGCUGCUCUAUAUAACUCAUGUAUGUUUAUUGCAUGCAUCCUAAUUGUCUAUAUAACGUGUCUAGUUAAUGACCAGUAUUGAGAGAUUUUGGUGGUUGCAGUACAUUUAACUUGGAGUUCUGCAGUACUCCUAGAUUUGCUACUCAAACAAAUUUUGAGUACUUGCACUGGGAAGGAGUGAAAUACUCCUGGUACUGGCAUAGGUUUAAAAAAAUGACUUGCGUAGGUUUAAAAAUAGUACUCGUCUUUGUGAUGAAACCAACAAGCAACUUGCUAACCUCUUUCAGUGUUCAAUCAUCUUUUAAUUCUUAAAUUUCAGUGUUCAAUUUCAGAUUAUACGAACUGGAAGUGUCUGUUCUUUUUCUUUUUGAAGUAGGGAGGUUCUUGAUAGCAGUGUGGUAAGCAAAACAUUAACUUUGUGAUGCUUCCAGUAGACCACUAGCAUGCAUGUUUUGGGUAAUCAAUUUAGCUGCUCUGUUGUGUAAAUUGAAAGUGAAGAAACCUAAUAAGUUAAACACAGGUGCAUGAUUGUAUACCUAAUAUGAUAUGCUUUUAAACUGUACUUGGGUACUGAACCCAAGUUAAGUAUACCCGAAUAUUCUCACGCGUGCGCAUAAUAUGCUGGAUAGAUAGCUCAUGGUUUGUUCCUGUACCAUUCUUGCUAAAUGGUUAGCUCAUGGUUCUGUGUAGCAGAAUAUGUUUAAAUUUUCUAGGGUACCCUUUUUUACUCUGAAUAAGCAACAGAAGUGCUCAACAUCCGUCAUGCAUAACCCUGAACAUUAUUUGUCUCUAUUGAUGUGUCUCGCUGUGUACGUAUAGUGCCUGUACAUGCAUGGUUGUGUUUUGCAGGUGUAGGGUAACUUUUACUGCACAAGUUAACUUGAGACUGGUUAAAUUUUUUUGAAAGAUGGGCUGUCUUGCAGUGUCUGCGACUAGAGGGGAGGACUUCUUUGCAAUCUCAACGUACCCUGUUCAUCAGAGACAACAUCUCUGUGGGCGCCUCCGUGCGCUCUUUGGGCAGCUCGGAGCCAUGUUGUCAGAGCUCUUCACCAACUGGACCAUCUACACCAACAAGGCAGCGGCGCUGGGGACACUGUUGUUCGUGAUCGCGAUCAACCUGGUGAUUGGCAUCCUGCCGCACAUGAUGCGCCCGGCGCCAUGUAGUACCUCACGGGCAUGCUCGCCUCCCCCAGCAUCCCGAUCUCAACGAUCCUAGUGGUCGCCGUCCUUGUCCUGCUCGAGGAGCAAGGGGAGGGGCGCAUCUAGCCAGCCACAAAGGGCCUGCUCUGUACCACCACAUCAUCAGCCUUCUGCAGCAUCGAGUUCAAUAUGUCAGCCCCAGGAGAAGAAUCCCGAAGAAAACCAGUACCCAACUAUGUGUUUUAGCUCCCUGGAGCUGGCCAUGUUAAUAUUAGGUGUAUUUUAUAGUUGAAUACCUGAUUUGUAUUGCCAUGACUGUAAAUUACUUCGUUUGGCUGUUGUUUGAAAUUGUAUGUGUUAUUGGCUAUUUUUGAAUCAAGUUAUUGGUUAGUUCACAAAUAGUGAACUGA